AUUGAACGCUGGCGGCAGGCUUAACACAUGCAAGUCGAGCGGGGUGAUGGUGCUUUCACUCUCACUUAGCGGCGGACGGGUGAGUAAUGCUUAGGAAUCUGCCUAUUAGAGGGGGACAACAUAUCGAAAGGGACGCUAAUACAGCAUACGUCCUACGGGAGAAAGAAGGGGAUCACUUGUGACUUUGCGAUAAUAGAUGAGCCUAAGUCGGAUUAGCUAGUUGGUGGGGUAAAGGCCUACCAAGGGGACGAGCUGUAGCGGGUCUGAGAGGAUGAUCCGCCACACUGGGACUGGGACACGGCCCAGACUCCUACGGGAGGCAGCAGUGGGGAAUAUUGGACAAUGGGGGGAACCCUGAUCCAGCCAUGCCGCGUGUGUGAAGAAGGCCUUAUGGUUGUAAAGCACUUUAAGCGAGGAGGAGGCUCUUUUGGUUAAUACCCAAGAUGAGUGGACGUUACUCGCAGAAUAAGCACCGGCUAACUCUGUGCCAGCAGCCGCGGUAA
rnacentral:rRNA from 1 species